UACCAGCUCUCCGAGUGGUGUGGAUGUUUAUUGGGCCUAAAGCAUCCGUAGCUGGCUGGACAAGUCCCCUGUUAAAUCCACCGAUUUAAUCGUUGGUGUGCGGGGGAUACUGUUCGGCUAGGGGACGGGAGAGGCCGACGGUAUUUCCGGGAUAGGGGUGAAAUCCUAUAAUCCCGGGAAGACCACCAGUGGCGAAGGCUGUCGGCUAGAACGCGCCCGACGGUGAGGGAUGAAAGCUGGGGGAGCGAACCGGAUUAGAUACCCGGGUAGUCCAAGCUGUAAACGAUGCAGGCUAGGUGUUUGGGCGGCCACGUGCCGCUCUAGUGCCGCAAGGAAGCUGUUAAGCCUGCCGCCUGGGGAGUACGGCCGCAAGGCUGAAACUUAAAGGAAUUGGCGGGGGAGCACCACAAGGGGUGAAGCUUGCGGUUU
rnacentral:rRNA from 1 species